GAUGAACGCUGGCGGCGUGCUUAACACAUGCAAGUCGAACGGAAAGGCCCAAGCUUUCUUGGGUACUCGAGUGGCGAACGGGUGAGUAACACGCGGGUGAACUGCCCUGCACUUCGGGAUAAGCCUUGGAAACUGGGGCUAAUACCGGAUAGGACCUCGUCAUGGGUGUGGUGGUGGAAAGAAUUUUCGGUGUGGGAUGAGCUCGCGGUCUAUCAGCGUGUCGGUGGGGUGUUGGCGUACCAAGGCGUCGACGGGUAGCCGGCCUGCGAGAGUGUACGGCCGCACUGGGACCGAGAUACGGCCCACACUAGUGAGGGAGGCAGCAGUGGCGAAUAUCGGACGAUGCGAGCAAGCCUGAGGCAGGGAGGCCGCGUGGUCGAUGAAGGCUUUCAGGUUGUAAAAACCUAUCGCUAGGGACGAAGCGUUUUUGUGACGGUACCUGGAGAAGAAGCACCGGCUAACUACGUG
rnacentral:rRNA from 1 species